CCAAAAACAUCGCCUCUUGAUUAAAUAUAAGAGGUCCAGCCUGCCCAGUGACAAAAUUUAACGGCCGCGGUACCCUGACCGUGCGAAGGUAGCAUAAUCACUUGUUCUUUAAAUAGGGACUAGUAUCAACGGCAUCACGAGGGUUUUACUGUCUCCUUUCUCCAAUCAGUGAAACUGAUCUUCCCGUGAAGAAGCGGGAAUAAACCUAUAAGACGAGAAGACCCCAUGGAGCUUUAAAUUUCACAGCAACUCAGUAACAUAUUUCCUCAUAACUCAAAGAGUUAUGCAUGCCAAUUUUAGGUUGGGGUGACCGCGGAGUAUAAAAUAACCUCCACAUCGAAAAGAACUAAAUCUUUAUUUAAGAGCCACAACUCUAAAAAUUAGUACACUAACGAACAAUGACCCGAUAAUCGAUCAACGGACCAAGUUACCCUGGGGAUAACAGCGCAAUCUACUUCAAGAGCCCAUAUCGACAAGUAGGCUUACGACCUCGAUGUUGGAUCAGGGUAUCCCAGUGGUGCAGCCGCUACUAAUGGUUCGUUUGUUCAACGAUUAAAACCCUACGUGAUCU
rnacentral:rRNA from 1 species